rnacentral:lncRNA from 1 species
GUCAGAAUGCAAAAGUAGCACUUAAGCAAAGGGCCCUAGGCGUGGACCUGAGUUCCAGUGGGAGAAAAGAGCUUGAGAAACAGCAAGCCACUGCUAUGCCCAGGAGAAAGAUGGCCUCAGUGUGGCCCGAGCCGCAGCAGCCUGGGAUGAUUGCAGAUUUGGGUCUCCCUGGAGGUCACUCACACAAACACCCUCCCAGCCCAGCACUGGGUCCCUGCCCUGUGCAGCGUAGUACGUAGGUGUCUGCAGAUACCUCUGAUGACUCCUCCUUGGCCUCGCCCUCCAGUGCACCAUCAGCGGGGAAUUUCUGGCUCCAGGAAGAAAGUGUGAUUAGCGGAAGAAGAGCAUGUGGAGCCAAUUUCUCUCCUGCUCCCUGGUUCUUCCUCAGCUUGCUGAGUCAGACCCUAACCCUUAAAAGAAAUAAAAAACACAGGUUCUUUCUGCUACCCUGUCUCAUCUGAUAUCCCAG